AUUGAACGCUGGCGGCAGGCUUAACACAUGCAAGUCGAGCGAGCGGCGGACGGGUGAGUAAUGUCUGGGCAACUGCCUGAUGGAGGGGGAUAACUACUGGAAACGGUAGCUAAUACCGCAUACCAUCAGAUGUGCCCAGGUGGGAUUAGCUAGUCGGGGGGGUAAUGGCUCACCUAGGCGACGAUCCCUAGCUGGUCUGAGAGGAUGACCAGCCACACUGGAACUGAGACACGGCCCAGACUCCUACGGGAGGCAGCAGUGGGGAAUAUUGCACAAUGGGCGCAAGCCUGAUGCAGCCAUGCCGCGUGUGUGAAGAAGGCCUUCGGGUUGUAAAGCACUUUCAGCGGGGAGGCGUUACUUGCAGAAGAAGCACCGGCUAACUCCGUGCCAGCAGCCGCGGUAAUUC
rnacentral:rRNA from 1 species